CCUACGGGUUGCUGCAGUGGGGAAUAUUGGACAAUGGGGGGAACCCUGAUCCAGCCAUGCCGCGUGUGUGAAGAAGGCCCUCGGGUUGUAAAGCACUUUCAGUGAGGAAGAACGCCUGGUGGUUAAUACCCAUCAGGAAAGACAUCACUCACAGAAGAAGCACCGGCUAACUCCGUGCCAGCAGCCGCGGUAAUACGGAGGGUGCGAGCGUUAAUCGGAAUUACUGGGCGUAAAGCGCGCGUAGGUGGCUUGAUAAGCCGGUUGUGAAAGCCCCGGGCUCAACCUGGGAACGGCAUCCGGAACUGUCAAGCUAGAGUGCAGGAGAGGAAGGUAGAAUUCCCGGUGUAGCGGUGAAAUGCGUAGAGAUCGGGAGGAAUACCAGUGGCGAAGGCGGCCUUCUGGACUGACACUGACACUGAGGUGCGAAAGCGUGGGUAGCAAACAGGAUUAGAUACCCCUGUAGUC
rnacentral:rRNA from 1 species